CGAAGGACAAGAAAGACAAGGCCCCCUUAAACCUAAGCGCCUUCCAGCUUAACAGAUGAUAUUAUCUUAAUCUGAUAUGCUAUAACCAUAAAAUCCCCUAGAUACAGGGGCUU
rnacentral:rRNA from 1 species